UGUUGUGUGCUUUCUUGCAGGCGACUUCUUGGCAGAUACUGCAUCUUCAGCCAGGAGAAGUUGGCUUAGUACAAAAGGGCUUUUGAAGUGAUUUUCGAGAUUGUUGACUAUUAUGUAACAGAUGGCCCAACAGACCUCCGACUCUUUUGCGGUGUUGGCCAGCUUGGCUCAGGAAAAUAGCAGCACUGGAUAAUGACUACUGCAGAAGCCGCACGGACUCAGCCCCUAAGCCCUCCAGUACCACCUAAUGCCAUCUUCAGCAUUCUCUGGACCUCAAAGUCAGCCCAUAUUCAUUUGUGAGUUUUCUGUGUAUUGCUGCUGCUUCUUUCUUUCUUUUUGUUUUAAAGAGAUGCAUACACCAUAACUUUUUUGGUCUUUUUGCUUUUGCUUUUGGUCCCCUUUUUGCUUUUCUUUUUGAGCCAGCCACACAUAAAUCAGUAUCUUGAAAUACUGUCUUUUAUCAUGUCUGUGAGAGAAGCAGAAGAAUAGGGAUGAUUCUGUUUGUGCUCAAGCUUCCAUCUGGAACAUCCAGAACAAGAACUCUGAAGUUACUUUUUAACCUGGAAUAAUAUGAAUGGUGAAAUCAAAAGUCAGACUUUCAAUUUACUGAAUAACAUUGUUUUAAAAUGAAGUAAAUUUAUAUGACAUCUGCAUGUCUGGAAAAUAAUAUCCAAUAACAAUAAUAAUAAUUAUUAUUAUCUGGUUUAAUAAUGCACUUUAUUGAUAAAGAAAAUGAGAGCUAGAGAAGUGAACAUUUCAGGUCAUGCAAUGGAUAAAGGGCAGAGCUUGGGCUAGAAGGUCUCAGUUCUACUUUGGUAUUAUUUCUGUUUGUUUGGUAGUAAAGUAUGGUAUUCAAUUAAG